CAGCAACCCAGUGGAGCCAACCAAUGCAGCCAGACCCUCAGCACCAUCCCCCUAGACCUACACCAGGAACUACAGACCAGGAGACCAGAACAUUCUUAGGGGCAUACCAGGAAUUCCUGACAAGGCUGGAAUCAGCUCCCCGGUCUCUCUGGGUCUUAGAAAGGUCUGGAGCCUCUUUCUCAUCCCCCUGAUUGAGCAAGGCCUGUUCCUUGGGGAUAACAGAAGGGCACGCUAACAAAACUUACUGAGAAGUCACAGAACGGCUCUCUGCAGCAGGAACAGUUUUGAAAAAGAGUUGCUCUGCUGUGGUAUUUCCCCUCCCCUCCCCGCUCCAGUGGCUAACACACCAGUGUCAGAGUGCCUCCUGACUACCAUCAGUCCUCUGGGGAGGGUAGAUGCGAAUGCCCUGACCUCUGCUCCAGGUAAUAUAACUGUCCUUGUCCCAGCAGGAAUGGAGAGAUUCUAAAAGACACGCGUGUCCCUCCCUUUGACUAUCAGAUUUUGAAACAAUGAAUUCCAAGGAAUUGGAAUUUCUCCAGGAAUCUUAUGCUGGAAGAGAGUCAUGGCGCCAGCUGGUGAGGAAAGAGACUUCACAGUUCAGUCCGGCCGGCUGGAGAGACUUGGAGAAGAGACAACAGACCACACCUUGACUGGACUGCUUAGCUAUGCACACUGAUUUAAAACAGCAGCUGGAGGAGGGCAA